UCUGUUCCGAGCGUUGUUUUCUCUCUGAUUAUAUAAUCAUUCCUUUUCAGAGGGCUAUAUGCAGACUGUGGAGAGCAGGAGUGCCCGGCCUGAUCAUUCUUUAUAGAGAUUCUCCCUGAUGGAGCCUAGCCUGAGAGUGACCUCACAUCAUGCUAGCCUGGAGCUCAAUGUCCCUCUGCAAGGAGAAUGAUGCCAGGUGGUUCACACAAUUCAUCCAAGAGGAGUUGAAUGUUACACUGGAUGACAGCUUCGAGGCAUCCAUGGAUGUCCUGCGACUCAUCUCUCGGCUGGCUGGCUAGAGACUGGAGCACUUCACACACAGUGGUACGAGCGAGGGCUCCAUGAGCUCCUGAACCACGGUAGGGCUUUUGAGGGAGGC
rnacentral:lncRNA from 1 species